AUAAGACGGGUUAAAUUCCUGUCCGCCGUAAACCCAAGGUUUCCUGGGGAAGGUUCGUCCUCCCAGGGUUAGUCGGGACCUAAGUCGAGGCCGAUGGGCGUAGACGAUGGAAAGCAGGUUUAAUAUUCCUGCACCGCCGAAAUUUAACCCGGAAUGACGCGGUUGUGGAGAAAAGCCAGGUGCUGAAUGUCCUGGUCGCGCAAGCGGACGUGGAGGCUUCGGCCGAAGCGGAUUUUUUAAAACGACCGCCAAGAAAAGCUCCGGCGUAUACUAAGGCGCCCGUACCGUAAACCGACACAGGUGGGUGGGCAUAAGUGUGCCAAGGCGCGUGAGUGAAACCUCGUUAAGGAACUCUGCAAUCUAGCCCCGUAACUUCGGAAGAAGGGGUGCCCUCGCAAGAGGGUCGCAGUGAAAUGGGUCAACCGACUGUUUAACAAAAACACAGCACUCUGCUAAGUCGUAAGACGACGUAUAGGGUGUGACACGUGACCAAUGCGGAAAGAUUACGGUAAGGGGUUAGCCGCAAGGCGAAGCUCUGAGCCCAAGUCCCCGUGAAUGUCGGCCGUAACUAUAACGGUCCUAAGGUAGCGAAAUUCCUUGUCGGGUAGGUUCCGACCUGCACGAAUCGUGUAACGAGUUGACCGCUUCUCAACGAGGAGCUCAGCGAAGUUGUAUUGGCGGUGAAGAUGCCGCCUGCCCGCAGUAGGACGGAAAGACCCUAUGCACCUUUACUGUACGCUGUCAUUGUUGCUUCGCUUUUAUUGCUUAGCGUAAGUGGGAGACUUUGAUCGCAGCCUUUCGGGGCUGCAGGAGUCGCCAAUGAAACACCACCCUAUGAAAUUGGAGCAUCUAACCUUGAUCCAUUAUCUGGACAAGAGACACUGGCAGCCGGUCAGUUUGACUGGGGCGGUCUCCUCCCAAAGAGUAACGGAGGAGUACGAAGGUUGGCUCAGCCUGGUUGGUAAUCAGGUGACGAGUAUAUGGAUAUAAGCCAGCUUGACUGCGAGACUUACAAGUCGAGCAGGUACGAAAGUAGGUCCAAGUGAUCCGGUGGUUGAAUGUGGAAUUGCCAUCGCUCAACGGACAAAAGGUACGCUAGGGAUAACAGGCUGAUCCUGCCCAAGAGCUCAUAUCGACGGCAGGGUUUGGCACCUCGAUGUCGGCUCAUCACAUCCUGGGGCUGGAGAAGGUCCCAAGGGUCCGGCUGUUCGCCGGUCAAAUUGGUACGCGAGCUGGGUUCAGAACGUCGCGAGACAGUUCGGUCCUUAUCCACUGUGGGCGCAGGAGAGUUGAGGGGUUCAUUCCUUAGUACGAGAGGACCGGGAAUGACGAACCUCUGGUGUUCCAGUUGUCGUGUCAACGGCAUUGCUGGGCAGCUACGUUCGGAAAGGAUAAGCGCUGAAAGCAUCUAAGCGCCAAGCCUCUCCCAAGAUUAACUCUCCCUGAAGAAUCGUGGUAGACCACCACGUUGAUAGGCCAUGGGUAUAAGCGUAGUAAUACGUUCAGCUCAAUGGUACUAAUAUUCGUUCGGCUAAAAAAG
rnacentral:rRNA from 1 species